CCAAUAGCGUAUAUUAAAGUUGUUGCAGUUAAAAAGCUCGUAGUUGAAUUUCGGGAUCAGUAGGUCGGUCGUGCCACAGGUAUGCACUGGUCUCACUGGUUCCUCCUUCCUGAUGAACCGUAAUGCCAUUAACUUGGUGUUGCGGGGAGACUGGACUGUUACUUUGAAAAAAUUAGAGUGUUUAAAGCAGGCUUACGCUUGAAUACAUUAGCAUGGAAUAAUGAAAUAGGACGUUCGAUCCUAUUUUGUUGGUUUCUAGGAUUGACGUAAUGAUUAAUAGGGAUAGUUGGGGGCAUUAGUAUUCAAUUGUCAGAGGUGAAAUUCUUGGAUUUAUUGAAGACUAACUACUGCGAAAGCAUUUGCCAAGGAUGUUUUCAUUAAUCAAGAACGAAAGUUAGGGGAUCGAAGACGAUCAGAUACCGUCGUAGUCUUAACCAUAAACUAUGCCGACUAGGGAUCGGAUGAUGUUAAUUUUUUAAUGACUCAUUCGGCGCCUUACG
rnacentral:rRNA from 1 species